UACGGAGGGGGCGAGCGUUAUUCGGAAUUAUUGGGCGUAAAGGGCGCGUAGGCGGCUUGACAAGUCAAAGGUGAAAUCCCUCGGCUCAACUGAGGAACUGCCUUUGAAACUGUCAGGCUUGAGGCCGGGAGGGGGUAGCGGAAUUCCCAAUGUAGCGGUGAAAUGCGUAGAUAUCGGGAGGAACACCAGUGGCGAAGGCGACUUCCUGGCCUGUUCUUGACGCUGAGGCGCGAAAGCUAGGGGAGCAAACGGG
rnacentral:rRNA from 1 species